ensembl:lncRNA
CAUUUGUGUAGGCCUGUGUGUCUGUAUGUGUGUAGGCCUGUGUGUGUAUGUGUAUCUGUGUAGGCCUGUGUAUGUGUGUGUUUGUGUAGGCCUGUGUGUCUGUGUGUGUGUGUGUCUGUGUGUGUAGGCCUGUGUGUGUGUGUAGGCCUGUGUGUGUAUAUGUAUCUGUGUAGGCCUGUGUGUCUGUGUGUGUGUGUGUCUGUGUGUGUAGGCCUGUGUGUGUGUGUAGGCCUGUGUGUGUAUAUGUAUCUGUGUAGGCCUGUGUGUCUGUGUGUGUGUGUGUCUGUGUGUGUAGGCCUGUGUGUGUGUGUAGGCCUGUGUGUGUAUAUGUAUCUGUGUAGGCCUGUGUGUCUGUGUGUGUGUGUGUAUGCCUGUGUGUGUGUGUGUAGGCGUGUGUGUGUGUAGGCGUGUGUGUGUAGGCGUGUGUGUGAGUGUGAGCAUGUAGGCCUGUGUGUGUGUCUGUGUAGGCCUGUGUGUAUGUGUGUGUGUGUGUGUCUGUGUAGGCCUGUGUGUAUAUCUGUGUAGGCCUGUGUGUGUGUGUGUGUAGGCCUGUGUGUAUGUGUAGGCCUGUGUGUGUCUGUGUAGGCCUGUGUGUGUGUGUGUCUGUGUAGGCGUGUGUGUCUGUGUAGGCCUGUGUGUGUGUGUGUGCGUGUGUGUGUCUGUGUAGGCCUGUGUGUAUGUCUGUGUAGGUGUGUGUGUCUGUGUAUGCCUCUGUGUGUGUGUGUGUGUGUGUGUGUGUGUGUGUGUGACCCGCACUCACCAGUUCUAGGCGGUGGGCAUGACUCGGAGGCACACGGCAGCUUCAGGGCGUCCAUUCUGCUCGGGUGCUCAUCCAGCCUGCGCCAGGCUGAGAGCAGCGCUGGGCCCGCGCUUUACUGCCUGAGUGAG